GAAAACCUCGUCUAGGAAAAUCUUUAUCGAUCUAAAAGAAAAGAAUAUUUUUACAUAUAACAAGAUACAAAGAUACGUGAUAUUUGGCUUUUUAGGGUUUAAUAAAGAGUUUCUUUGCUGAAAUGGAUGAUGUUAAGAGCCGAAAGAAACAUCAAAAUGAGUAAAUUCCCCAACCACAAAAAAAAAAAAAAA